rnacentral:rRNA from 1 species
UGGGGAAUCUUGCACAAUGGGGGAAACCCUGAUGCAGCGACGCCGCGUGAACGAUGAAGCCCUUCGGGGUGUAGAGUUCUUUCGACAGGAACGAUAAUGACGGUACCUGGAGAAGAAGCUGCGGCUAACUACGUGCCAGCAGCCGCGGUAAUACGUAGGCAGCGAGCGUUGUUCGGAGUUACUGGGCGUAAAGAGUGCGUAGGCGGCGAGCCAAGUUUGGUGUGAAAUCUCCCGGCUUAACCGGGAGGGUGCGCCGAAAACUGGUUGGCUGGAGUAUGGGAGAGGAAAGCGGAAUUCCUGGUGUAGCGGUGAAAUGCGUAGAUAUCAGGAGGAACACCUGCGGUGUAGACAGCUUUCUGGACCAAAACUGACGCUGAGGCACGAAAGCGUGGGUAGCAAACA